rnacentral:lncRNA from 1 species
UAAUACAUAGUAAGUAAUAAUAUUAAUCGUUUUUAUUUUUAUUACAAGUUUAUUUUGUAAAUUUUAACUUUCCAAUGUUUGCUGUCAUUUAUUUUUUGAAAUUAUUAUUAGUCAAGCACUUCAUUGUGUACUGUCGAAACCAUAUGUCAAUUGGGAAAAGACUAGUAAUAUAUAAAAACCUUUUUGAAGCCCUUAGUCCAGUUGAAGACAUAAAAAAAAUCGUCUCAUUUCUCAACCAUAUUGAUAUGUACAACUUAAUCUAGAAAAACCAUUGAUUAAUGAGUCGUCCAUAUGUAGCAUUAAUAUUUGAUACUGUUGUAAGCUAAUAACCUAAGUUUUUGAAGCUUUACCAAGUAUAAUAAAACAAAAAAUAUUAAUUAUUAGUUAUUAGUUUUUAGUAAUUGAUAAUCGUUAGUAUUAUGGAAUAAAUGAUCUUAUAAAAACGGUAAUGUAAAAUAAAUGUCGUUCUAUAAAAUAUCUAUUUAGAAAUAAAGUGUAAAUCGAUAAUGUGCAUAAAUACAUAUUUACAUUAUAUUUUGUUUGGUUAGAUUAGUAUAACGUUCUAUGUAUUAUUUUCUACAGAAGAAACACAGGAAAUGGGAUCUUUAUGCGACUUUGUUUAUUAUUUUUUGAUUUAAUGUAAUGUUAUUUCUGUAUUAAAAACGUAAUAUUUGUAUUAUUAAUAAGAUAACGCAUCUGGUACAAAACACAUAACACUAUAAAAUAUUAUAAUAUAAGAAACUCGGAUAAAAACUUUUAUAUCAAGCUCAAAAUAGUUCUUACAUUCAGUGAAAUUUUAAUAACAGUAUAACAUAGUUGCAAUGUAUUAUAAUACACAUAAUAUUAAACCAUACUUACAUAUUUUAUAGUUAACGGUAUUUUAAGAAUAAAAAUAUUUAAUCUAUAUUUAGUACAAUAUUAAAGUAAAGUGAUUCAAGUAUGAUCCGCACCCAAUUUCGAAAUCAUAGGUUUAAUGAACCAAAAUUUUAAAUAGCUUUGGGACUGAUCAAAGACGAUGUCUAAGACUUGAGAGUAUCUUGUUUUUUUUCCUUUACUAACCUGGAAUUGUAGAGCGUGUGUGUGGAUUUUGCUCAACGUAUAUACAAGCCGACAAUGACAGCGACGUAGGUAUCCAUAUAUCCAUAGUAGGUACCUAUAUGUAUAAAAUAUAGUCUGGAAAACAGGAUUUAAGGGAUUUUCAGGACGAGUUGCGGUAUCCAUUGUAAGAAAAGAAGUGCGAAUAGUACAAAAUUAUUUUAUUAUAGUCUGACUCUCGUAUGCAGGAUGGGGGGCAUGUGGCAUGAAGUCGGAGGAAAGUUAUUAUACUCGUAGUUGCGUGCGGGAAAUACAUUGAUGCAGGUGGUGUGUGAUAUACUGACAUAGGUAGAAGUAGAAAGAAGUGUUGUGGGGGAAGGGGUUUUGAGUCCACCAGGUUCUUCCAAUACUCCCAUUACUGCCAAAUAAAAACUAAUGCUGUACUCACAAAUAUUUACCGCUUUAGGAUGUUUUGAAGUGUUGCCGCUUGGACAAUUUAUUUUUAUCCUACUUAAGAAGAUUAAAAAAAAAAAAAAAACAAUUAUCUCAAACUGUGUAUUAUAUUAUGCCUUUUCCCAUGUAGUAUACUUAUACAACAUUUUAUUCAAUUAUACCCUCUUAAUGUCACGAAAAACGUUAGUUCGAAAUUAUUUCGUCGAGUGGUGUGUGUGAGGCGUACACUAAGCUGCUCACGUACCUGCAGUUUAGCAUGACAUCAUUAUGGUCACCUUAGAAUGAGAUCAGUAGAUUUCCGUUCGUAGGUCGACCGAUGAGCCACAGAUAUAUUUAUAUUAUACUGGUUAUCGAUCAUUUGAUUUAUAUCGCGCUUGCACCAACAGUUCUUCUACAAUAAAUAUCAGUAUAAUAUUAUGAUGUAUAUUGUAUCAUACAGUGAUAAAAUAUUAUAGAUACGACAGCGUUGACUGUAUGUAAAAUGAUUUUUCCGGACAUCUCUUCAGUGGCAGUAUAGAUACUAGAUAGUCGGAUGUGCGUAGUGGUAUAUAUAUGUUCAAAUAUAUUAUAUUAUUAUUAUUAUUAUUAUUAUUUUCGUAAUUUUACCUUUUCGCGUUGGUCUGGCGUGUGUGCGGUUUUCAGCCGUCGCGAUCGGUCUGUCUCGGUUCUUUUCGGUCCGUCCGUCCACGGUACGUCCGUCCGUCAAAUAGUCGUGCGGUACUCGCUCGCCCAUCUACGCAUCGCCGAAACCGCUACCAGUCGGGCUCCUACACAACCUAUCGCGAGGGAGGAGCGGGUAGGCAGACGGAUAGAGUGAGAGAGAGUUGUCGUCGUCGUCGUCGUCGUCAUCGGUGGCGGCGGCCCGGGGACCUUUUAGUCUGUUUCGGAAACGCGCCGCAGACGGUCGUGUCUCCGUUGUCCGCUCGCCCGCUGCCGUCGUAUAGUUUGCCGUCGAUGUCCGUCCGCCGCCGACGACGACGCCGCCGCCGCCGGGACACGUGCGCGGUUUUCCACUGUAGUUUCGCUGCUCUGCGGCCAAGAAACCUUGAAACGACGGUGUUGCACACCAGUGAUAUCAUAAUCUCCCCUGUGCGACCAGCGGUAUCCACCCCGUAAAUACGCCGCCGCGAACCGUUUCCGCUCCUCCGUCCCCGGGGUCAUGGUGGCGAUGGCCAUGUAUUUCUACGCCAGUCGGUUGACCGCCACGGCGGCCAAGACACCGCCGCAGUCAGCCAACAGCAACAAUCAAACAAGCUCGUCGAGCAACAACUGCAGUAGCGCCGGCAAACGAUUACAAGUGCAGACCGCGAAGGCAGAAACAGCCGCUGGCCAACAACCGUCGGUUUCCAGUGAAAAGGUCAGUACCGGUGGUCACUGUCGUGUUAUAAAUUCAGGGUUUUGGUUUUUUUUUCAAGAAGCCUGAAAAACCCAAAAACCAUACUGUUUUUAUCAAGGUUCGGAGAGUAGAGCUAGUGAUUUUAUAAGGCUUUUGGCCGAUAAUUUAUGGUUUUCGAUAAAAAAAAAAAACAGUCGAUAAACGGUAAAAUGUUUUUAGAACGC